AUUGAACGCUGGCGGCAGGCCUAACACAUGCAAGUCGAACGAGUGGCGGACGGGUGAGUACUGUCUGGGAAACUGCCUGAUGGAGGGGGAUAAAUACUGGAAACGGUAGCUAAUACCGCAUACCAUCAGAUGUGCCCAGAUGGGAUUAGCGAGUUGGUGGGGUAACGGCUCGCCAAGGCGACGAUCCCUAGCUGGUCUGCGAGGAUGACCAGCAAGACGGGAACUGAGACACGGUCCAGACUCCUACGGUAGGCAGCAGGGGGGAAUAUUGCACAAUGGGCGCAAGCCUGAUGCAGCCAUGCCGCGUGUAUGAAGAAGGCCUUCGGGUUGUAAAGUACUUUCAGCGGGGAGGCGUUACCCGCAGAAGAAGCACCGGCUAACCCCGUGCCAGCAGCCGCGGUAAUAC
rnacentral:rRNA from 1 species